rnacentral:misc_RNA from 1 species
GAAAUGCGAUAAGUAAUGUGAAUUGCAGAAUUCAGUGAAUCAUCGAAUCUUUGAACGCACAUUGCGCCCGCCAGUAUUCUGGCGGGCAUGCCUGUUCGAGCGUCAUUACAACCCUCAGGCCCCCGGGCCUGGCGUUGGGGAUCGGCGAAGCCCCCUGCGGGCACAACGCCGUCCCCCAAAUACAGUGGCGGUCCCGCCGCAGCUUCCAUUGCGUAGUAGCUAACACCUCGCAACUGGAGAGCGGCGCGGCCACGCCGUAAAACACCCAACUUCUGAAUGUUGACCUCGAAUCAGGUAGGAAUACCCGCUGAACUUAAGC